AAAGAGCCGAGGUUGCCUACCCCUGCCCUAGGCUGAAUAGAACAGUAUUUGAUUAUUGCAGGAAUAUAUUCAGCAUCCCAUAGGAUACAGUGAGGUAAGAGCUGUUCCACUACUUCCAGCCUAGUCUGAGCACAGAACCAUCAACAUGUCAUUAGCAGGUUAAAAACAUACCAAUAUAUUGAUUGCUUUGUUUUGAAGCUCCGAACCAAAUAAUUUCUCUUUAUAUCAUUGGACAUUUUUCUCCUAGAAGAUAGAGUGGGCAGUCCUAUCAUGAUCACUGCAUAAAAUCAGAUCAGACGCUGAAUGUUUUUGCUUCUGAUAUUUUUCCUAGAGUUAGGUACAGGUUUGAAAAGCCCCCGUUUGACAAGACUCUUUGUGACAUUGUUUUGACUGGCACUGAAAACUGGAAGCACGUCUAAUCUGGUAUGAUGUUCUUGUGUUUUCUGUACAGUAUUUCUCCCCCAGCUAUCUUCUUCUGAUAUUUUUUUUAAACAAUUCACUCAUUAUCAAUCCCAGAAUCUAUGGCAUCUUUAAUACAGGAUUGCACAAUUGAUUGCACAGUUUGGUUGAAAUCAAAUUCCCAUAAUGCUGGUUCAAACAGUGAGUUGAUACAAGGUGGUAGGAGCUAUCAAUAUAAACCACAUUAGUUUAUCUCAGGGAUUCCCGCAAUUAUACACCACCCAUUUCUCCUCCACUAUCUCCCACCCCCCAUGAGCUAUUUUUAGACUGAGAUCUAACAAUUUAGCUCAUAAACUUGGGGACAGCAUUAUUGAACUAUGAAGGAUGAUAGCUAUUAGCUGUAAAUAUUAUCAUUAUUAAAAUAGAACAAAACAAACUGGUACUCACUAGUUAAGACAGAGUGGGAUGGGAUAGGAUAGGAUAUAGUCACAACAGUCAAGAUAUAAUGAUGGUUCCUGAGUACUAGUUUGGUGAUUAAGGCUUAAUUUAGUUAUAGGCAGUUGCUGCUAAUGCUACCCUGCUAGCUGAUGCCAUUGGAAUAAGCAACAAUAAAGAGCUGUUGAGAAUGCUCUGUAGUAUUUCAGCCUUCCCAAACUUACUGCUCUACUGAUGUAUUGAACUUCAACUCCUACCAUAUCACCAAUAAUUCCUACCAACGAAAUAUGUUGCAGAUAAACAGCUCUUUGUAUUCUAUCCUCCAUCAUCAUCCCUGGAGUUCAACUAUUAUAUUGAAUGACACCACAGAUCUCUCUGUGAACAAAAAAUGCCAUCCAUUGCCUGCCCUAAAGCAAGAUAAGCAGGCUACAUGAGUCUCUGUCACUUGGCUGAAUGUCUCUUCUGCAACUCCAAAGUGGUAUUAUCUAUGAUUUUUCAGGGGGAAAAAAAGAAAAAAACCCAACAUGGAAGCCCUGCCAAAGGUAGUCUUCAAUCUACAAAAGUUACAGAUAAGGAAAAUAUUGUCUGGAUCUCUGUAACAUUUCUGAACGAGGCAAGAUAAUUGUAUAAUAAAAAAUUUUAACAGGAAGCACUAGGAUGUAUCAGGAAAUACCUUGGCAGAAUUGAUUCUGCCCAUCCAAACAAACUAUCAAGAGAGAGUCUGUUGCAGGUCCUUUCUCCUCCCAAGAUACACAGAGUAUGAAUCAGGUGUCAGGCCUUCUGAGGGAUGGCCCCUAUUUUAUGGAAUAUUCUCCUCCUGGAGGUCCAAAUGACCCCGGCCCAGCUUAAACAAGCUAAAACAAUUCUAAUCCAUGUUAUGUUCAGCCCUUAGAUUAUUACUGUAGAUUUAUGGGUUUCUAUGAUCUUUAGUUUUCAGAUGGUUUACUAUAAUUGUUUAUUAUUGGUUUUAUUAUUCCUCUUGACCUUGUUAUACCCUGCUCAGAAUCUACUGGAAUUGAUGCCAGUUAUAAAAAUAAAUGAAUAAAUAAGUAAAUAAAGUUAAACUGAGAGAACAACCAAGGUAGAAAUACAUCUGUGGAGGUGAAGUCUUAGGGGUUAACUGCUCAGUGAAGGGAUGGGAAUAAAACCAUAGGGCCCUUGUGCUUCAAAAGAGGCCUCUCUGGAAUAUUUGUCACCGUAGCAUUUUGGAGCAGCUAUUUAAUCAGAACUGUUCAACAGACUCUAAUUCUCUUUCUGCUCUAGGGGAUUUAUCUGCCUGCUCUGGGAUUGGGCAAGUUGAGGAAAAACUGCCAAGUCGGAAAGAAGCAAGGACAAUGGGAUAUGCUGGGCUCAGCAUUUGACCAGGGCCAGCAUGUUUGAAGGACACAGGAGAGGAGAAUCAGCAUAUGCAUGCUCAAUCACAGUCUCGUAUUUUAUUGCACAUCAGGUCCAGGGAUGGGUGAUUUAGCCUGAGCAACAGCUGAGAGUGAAGACCGAGACACGCUGGCAGCCUCCACAAUCUCAAUGUCACGACACGUCAGGCAGGCCACAAGCUUUUCCUGGGAAGCACUGUCAGCAAAGAAGAAUUCAUAAGAUACUCCAGCCAGAACGGCACCCAGAAUAGGGCCGAGCCAAUACACCUGGAAAGUGGGAAUGAGAGAUCGGUAACUACUUACCCAGUGAUGUUCCCAGAAUCCUGUGAUGACAGCUGGACCCAAAGAUCGGGCUGGAUUCAUACUGCCUCCAGAGAAGGACUUUCUGUUUAAGAAUCAUUCUAGUUUCGUUACUGUCCAUGGAUAGCAAAACAACAACAACAACAACAACUGUGGAUAAAAGUUGUAAUUGCACUUUUUACAAGAGGAUCCACUUACAGAGGAUGAGCUCCACUGAACAAAAAUCCUUUAGACCAGGAUGUCAAACUCAAUUUCAUUGAGGGCUGCAUCAGCAUUGCGGUUGCCCUCAGGGGGCCAGCUAGAGCUCCUGCUAUCACAGAGAAACCAAUAGCCAAGGUCCCAGCAGGCUCCCCUCGUUCAUGCCUCCGGUGAUCUUCUACAGCGAAAAUGGUGAGAGCCAGCUGGAAAGUGGAAAACAGCUCCAUCCCCA